CAGUCUGCAACUCGACUGCAUGAAGCUGGAAUCGCUAGUAAUCGCGAAUCAGCAUGUCGCGGUGAAUACGUUCCCGGGUCUUGUACACACCGCCCGUCACACCAUGGGAGUCGGAAAUGCCCGAAGCCGGUGACCCAACCUUUAAGGAGGGAGCUGUCGAAGGCAGGUCUGGUAACUGGGGUGAAGUCGUAACAAGGUAGC
rnacentral:rRNA from 1 species